rnacentral:rRNA from 1 species
UACGGAGGGUGCGAGCGUUGUUCGGAAUUACUGGGCGUAAAGGGCGCGUAGGCGGCUUGAUAAGUCAGAUGUGAAAUCCCACGGCUCAACCGUGGAAGUGCAUCUGAAACUGUCUGGCUUGAGUAUUGGAGGGGAAAGUGGAAUUCCCGGUGUAGAGGUGAAAUUCGUAGAUAUCGGGAGGAACACCGGUGGCGAAGGCGACUUUCUGGACACAUACUGACGCUGAGGCGCGAAAGCGUGGGGAGCAAACAGG